GUGAGGAAUUUUGGACAAUGGGGGAAACCCUGAUCCAGCGACGCCGCGUGGAGGACGAAGGUCUUCGGAUUGUAAACUCCUUUUGUCUGGGAAUAAAAAAUCUAUAGAAAUAUAGAGACUGAAUGUACCGGAUGAAUAAGCCACGGCUAACUUCGUGCCAGCAGCCGCGGUAAUACGAAGGUGGCAAGCGUUACUCGGAAUUACUAGGCGUAAAGCGCAGGUAGGUGGUUGUGUAAGUCUGCUGUGAAAGCUCCCGGCUUAACUGGGAGAGGUCAGCGGAUACUGCAUAGCUAGAGUGUGGGAGAGGGUACUGGAAUUCCCGGUGUAGCGGUGAAAUGCGCAGAGAUCGGGAGGAACACCUAAGGCGAAAGCAGGUACCUGGACCAUUACUGACACUGAGCUGCGAAAGCUAGGGGAGCAAACAGGAUUAGAAACCCUAGUAGUCC
rnacentral:rRNA from 1 species